AAUCUUCCAUCGCACCUCCAGCUGAUCCGCUGUCCAUAUCGGAUGGGAGGUAAGCAUGGGAGGAGGCGUUGGAUUUGGGGAAGGGAGGGUGAUGGUGAGAGUGUAUCAGUAUCAGUGUACAUGUGUGCGUGCGUGUGUGUGUGUGUGUGUGUGUGUGUGUGUGUGUAUCCUAUGUUCAGCUGAGAGAAAGUGUCACCACGCCCGGUUAAGCGAAGGUCAACAGUCUCCAGUGGACCCAGGUGGCCUUGAAGGAGGGACAAAGAGUUCUGACAACAGUCCUGUUUAUCAUGGAAGAAUUUUUGUUGUUCCAGUCAGCUUUGACCUUGGCAGGCCUUCAGCUGGCGCCAGUGGGAUAGCCGCAUGAGUGAAGAUGGUGAAUGUUUGUGUUUAGUGUAAACAACUGCAUCGAAUUUUUACAGUUUGUCAAAUGUCCGUUACUGGUCACCAAUUCUCUCAAUUCCCGUUCUUCUUCUCCAAGAUCUUACCCAUUUCAAAACCAUGAGCUUCUCCAAGAUGUUAUCCAUAUUGCGUUCAAUAAACACAGUCUGAGUAUUCACAGCCCUGCCCAUCGUCUGUCACAGGGGUGUCGAACUCGCCUCGAGGGCCGGUGUCCUGCAGGGUUUACAUAUCACCCUGGGUCAUCACACCUGAAUCAAAUGAUUAGUUCAUUCCCGGGCCUCUGGAGAACUUCAAGACAUAUUGAGGAGGUCAUUUGGCAUUUAAAUCAGCUGUGUUGCAUCAAGGACACAUCUAAAUCCUGCAGGACACCGGCCCUCGAGGCCUAGAGUGCGACACCCCUGGUCUAUCAUGUCGGCCAUCCUUGUGGGAUUUUGAACAGCUGUAGCCGCUUCUUGUUCUUCGAUAAGCCAGGGCUGAGCCAGCUCCAAUCAGCCAGAACUCUGUUAUCGUGUUUCUGAAUUGGUAGAUGUCAUUCAAUGUCCACAAUUGAGAGUGUCGCCAGACACAGGAUGCAAAACAACCAUCGAGUAUCCGGCAGCAAACGUCUCAGCAGGACAAUCGGACUCUCCCAAGCCCAGGAGGGUUUCAAUUUCGUUACGGGGCCAGUUGAUCAAAUCCAUAAUUUUUUCGGUUUUAGAGAACAAGACUGAGAGACUCUUUGAGGGUUAGAGUUAGACGAGACUAGACACAGACAUAGAAGCAGCAGGGAAGACAAGGGAAGGAGAGGGUGAAAGAUGCGUCCGCCUCCUCCGAGAGCCAAAGAAAAGAGUGGGGAGAGUUUAGACGCUCUCCAAGAUUACAUCGACCAGUGCUCCGAGGGUGUAGUUAUGAAGAAGGUCCAAAGCGCAUCUUCCCCGGCAAAAUAUGAGAUCCCGUCGGCAGACUCCCCCGGCUCAACAUCACCUGCCGGCAAACACAUUACUGACUUCCUGGAGUCAAUUGGCAUGCGAAUCUCCAGCUCGUUGUCCCUGGUGUAGAUGGAAUGUUCGGAAUUCCGGAAUGCGCCUAGGUUCCGGAAUGUUCGGAAUUCCGGAAUGCGCCUAGGUUCCGGAAUGUUCGGAAUUCCGGAAUGCGCCAAGGUUCCGGAAUGUUCGGAAUUCCGGAAUGUUCGGAAUUCCGGAAUGCG
ensembl:lncRNA